GUCGAGCUUAGUAACGCAAGCCUGUGAUCCAAGUGGAGAUUAUAAGGUGGUGAGAUGUGUUGUGCCACUUUCCCUGGGACUGGUUUGUUGAUGUCUAUAUACUGGGCAAGUUAUAGGAGUUCGUCAUGUGAAAGCGGUACAUUAGUCUCCUAGUCCUACAGCUGAAGGAUUAUUGGACCAGUGAGGCAGUGACCUCUGAACAAUCUAGACCAGGUAACCGGUCCCAACUGGACCAUCAUUUUU
rnacentral:SRP_RNA from 2 species